GACGAACCGUGCAAAUGUUGUUCGGAAUCACUGGGCUUAAAGGGAGCGUAGGCGGGCUAUCAAGUCUGGGGUGAAAUGCCGCGGCUCAACCGUGGAACUGCCUCAGAUACUGACGGCCUCGAGGGAGAUAGGGGCAUGCGGAACUGUAGGUGGAGCGGUGAAAUGCGUUGAUAUCUACAGGAACUCCGGUGGCGAAAGCGGCGUGCUGGAUCUCUUCUGACGCUGAGGCUCGAAAGCUAGGGGAGCAAACGGG
rnacentral:rRNA from 1 species